GAUAAGGACAGACAGGGGAGAGAAUGUGGACCUAGUUCCAUUUCUUUUCGAAUGAUUCAUUUUCCUCCUUUCGUAAUUCCAUCCAACAUCCCAACACUUUAUGUUUUUGUUCAGUUUCUCAAUGGUUCACUGGAAAAUAUUCGUUGACGGCCAAAUAGAUUGCAAGAAGAGGAAGGAGAGGAGGAAAAGGGGGGAAAUGAACUUGGUGAGAUAAAGUAUAGAACAAGUAAAAAAGUUGACCCUCUAGUACUUGUGUUUCGCAUAUCUCAGAUUUGUAAAAAUGUGUAAUACAUUUGGAGCUGUAAGAUUACUGGCAUACAAGGAAGGUUCUUAGUCAAGGAAGGUGUAUAGAUUACUGGCAUACAAGGAAGGUACUUAGUCAAGGAAGGUGUAUAGAUUACUGGCAGACAAGGAAGGUUCUUAGUCAAGGAAGGUGUAUAGAUUACUGGCAUACAAGGAAGGUACUUAGUCAAGGAGGGUGUAUAGAUUACUGGCAUACAAGGAAGGUACUUAGUCAAGGAAGGGUGUAUAGAUUACUGGCAUACAAGGAAGGUACUUAGUCAAGGAAGGUGUAUAGAUUACUGGCAUACAAGGAAGGUACUUAGUCAAGGAGGGUGUAUAGAUUACUGGCAUACAAGGAAGGUACUUAGUCAAGGAAGGUGUAUAGAUUACUGGCAUACAAGGAAGGUACUUAGUCAAGGAAGGUGUAUAGAUUACUGGCAUACAAGGAAGGUACUUAGUCAAGGAAGGUGUAUAGAUUACUGGCAGACAAGGAAGGUACUUAGUCAAGGAAGGUGUAUAGAUUACUGGCAGACAAGGAAGGUACUUAGUCAAGGAAGGUGUAUAGAUUACUGGCAGACAAGGAAGGUACUUAGUCAAGGAAGGUGUAUAGAUUACUGGCAUACAAGGAAGGUACUUAGUCAAGGAGGGUGUAUAGAUUACUGGCAGACAAGGAAGGUACUUAGUCAAGGAAGGUGUAUAGAUUACUGGCAGACAAGGAAGGUACUUAGUCAAGGAAGGUGUAUAGAUUACUGGCAGACAAGGAAGGUACUUAGUCAAGGAGGGUCUAUAGAUUACUGGCAGACAAGGAAGGUACUUAGUCAAGGAAGGUGUAUAGAUUACUGGCAGACAAGGAAGGUACUUAGUCAAGGAAGGUGUAUAGAUUCCGUCAGACAGA